GGCAACCCUGGCGACGAGUGGCGAACGGGUGAGUAAUACAUCGGAACAUAUCCAGUAGCGGGGGAUAACCUGUCGAAAGAUGGACUAAUACCGCAUACGAUCUACGGAUGAAAGCAGGGGACCGCAAGGCCUUGCACUAUUGGAGUGGCCGAUGUCGGAUUAGCUAGUUGGUGGGGUAAAAGCUUACCAAGGCAACGAUCCGUAGCUGGUCUGAGAGGACGAUCAGCCACACUGGAACUGAGACACGGUCCAGACUCCUACGGGAGGCAGCAGUGGGGAAUUUUGGACAAUGGGCGAAAGCCUGAUCCAGCCAUGCCGCGUGAGUGAAGAAGGCCUUCGGGUUGUAAAGCUCUUUCGGUGAAGACGAAACGGUUAGCGCUAAUAACGCUGACUAAUGACGGUACUCACAGAAGAAGCACCGGCUAACUACGUGCCAGCAGCCGCGGUAAUUACGUAGGGUGCAGGCGUUAAUCGGAAUUACUGGGCGUAAAGGGUGCGCAGGCGGUUUGCUAAGACAGGUGUGAAAUCCCCGAGCUUAACUUGGGAAUUGCGCUUGUAACUAGCAGGCUAGAGUGUGGCAGAGGGGGGUGGAAUUCCACGUGUAGCAGUGAAAUGCGUAGAUAUGUGGAGGAACACCGAUGGCGAAGGCAGCCCCCUGGGUUAACACUGACGCUCAGGCACGAAAGCGUGGGGAGCAAACAGGAUUAGAUACCCUGGUAGUCCACGCCCUAAACUAUGUCAACUAGUUGUCGGGGAAGAAAUUC
rnacentral:rRNA from 1 species